rnacentral:rRNA from 1 species
GGGAGGCAGCAGUAGGGAAUAUUGGACAAUGGGCGAAAGCCUGAUCCAGCCAUGCCGCGUGUGUGAAGAAGGCCUUCGGGUUGUAAAGCACUUUCAGCGAGGAAGAACGCCUUGGGAUUAAUACUCUCGAGGAAAGACAUCACUCGCAGAAGAAGCACCGGCUAACUCCGUGCCAGCAGCCGCGGUAAUACGGAGGGUGCAAGCGCUAAUCGGAAUUACUGGGCGUAAAGCGCGUGUAGGUGGCUAAGUCAGCCAGGUGUGAAAGCCCCGGGCUCAACCUGGGAACGGCAUCUGGAACUGCUUGGCUAGAGUGCAGGAGAGGAAGGUAGAAUUCCCGGUGUAGCGGUGAAAUGCGUAGAGAUCGGGAGGAAUACCAGUGGCGAAGGCGGCCUUCUGGACUGACACUGACACUGAGGUGCGAAAGCGUGGGGA